rnacentral:rRNA from 1 species
UACGGGGGGAGCAAGCGUUGUUCGGAUUUACUGGGCGUAAAGAGCUCGUAGGCGGUUUGUUGCGUCGGCUGUGAAAUCCCGAGGCUCAACCUCGGGUCUGCAGUCGAUACGAGCAAACUAGAGUGUUGCAGGGGAGACUGGAAUUCCUGGUGUAGCGGUGAAAUGCGCAGAUAUCAGGAGGAACACCGGUGGCGAAGGCGGGUCUCUGGGCAGCAACUGACGCUGAGGAGCGAAAGCGUGGGGAGCGAACAGG